UUGCUCGCUCUUCAGCCUUCACCUAGCCCUCUAUCUUACAUUCGCCGUCAUCGCUGUUCUGUUCUUUCAGAAGCUGCAUUUUCUGGUAUACAUCUUUAGUUCCUCACUUGUUUUUCCCUCUCUCUCAUCGGACUUUUCUGAGCGAAAUCUCUCCCUCUUGUUCUGAUCUCGAUUUAAUUGGAAAUUUUACCAAUUCCGCUGGAGUUUGAGAGUAAAGCAAAGAGAGAGAUUUUGAAGGAUUGAUUGAAGGUGAAGAUAUUUGUUUAUGAGCCGCUUUAUGUGAAAAGAAAAAAGGUUGCUUGCAAAGAUUGUUACACUUUUACGGAGUCUUGAAAAGUUGGUUCUUUAUGUUGCUUUCUUUUCUCUCUGUUUUCUCUGUUGGGAAUGACAAAUAUUAAAAUCUUUUGUUGUCCCACAUCGGAAGAAUAACCUUUGGGAAGUUGGUUUAUAAGCAUGGACUCAGUAUUGGACUUAUAAACUUGGUGUGAGGCAAGCCAAGACCAUGGCCCACAUGCACACCGCCGUUGUCAGGCUCGGGCCUGGUUUUCCUUUUGGGACAAAUUUCACUCCUAUUCCGACGAGUGCAUUUAGCAUCGAGCACAACAUUUUUACCUCCUGGUUCCAAUUUUGUCGUUUGAAGUUGGAAUAGAUUAGUGGAAAGCAAAAACAAUUUUAUGGCAAUGUUUAUAAGUGUUUUCUAUUGAAAAUUGUUUUGAUUGAGUUGCUAUUUUGAAUUGCACAAGGACUAAAUACAACUUCGUGAUGCUGCUAUCAUAAACUUUUAUUGUAAAAAUGUUCAAAUUUGGCACUUGAAUUAGAAGUUUUUAUUU